UAAAAAAUUUUCGCAGUGAGGAAAAAGAAUCAAUGACUGGCACAGAGAGCAAUGUUUUUUCCUUUGUUUCUUAAUGAGAAACUCUUCCUUUUCUCCAUCUUCUGGAGAUGGUUUUGAUAAAGCUUAUAAAAAGGUCUUAUGGACCAAAUCAAGCCUACCAGCCAGAUGUUCCCUAUCAGAACUGGAGGUGGAAAGAAUCCCACUCAAUACACCCAUUUGGUUAUCUCUAUUUGACCCCCCUCACCAAUAAUUUUUCAAAAAUCAAUGCCACCCUUUUUUGUGAUGUUGCUAUAUCACUGCCACAUCUGCUGUGGCUCUUUGAGGCUGAAUAUAUAAUAUUAAAUCCUGGCUGCAGUAA